rnacentral:rRNA from 1 species
AACGAACGCUGGCGGCAUGCCUAACACAUGCAAGUCGAACGAGACCUUCGGGUCUAGUGGCGCACGGGUGCGUAACGCGUGGGAACCUGCCCUUAGGUUCGGCAUAACUCCCCGAAAGGGGUGCUAAUACCGGCUAAUGUCUUCGGACCAAAGAUUUAUCGCCUUUGGAUGGGCCCGCGUUGGAUUAGCUAGUUGGUAGGGUAAAAGCCUACCAAGGCGACAAUCCAUAGCUGGUCUGAGAGGAUGAUCAGCCACACUGGGACUGAGACACGGCCCAGACUCCUACGGGAGGCAGCAGUGGGGAAUAUUGGACAAUGGGCGAAAGCCUGAUCCAGCUAUGCCGCGUGAGUGAUGAAGGCCUUAGGGUUGUAAAGCUCUUUUACCCGGGAUGAUAAUGACAGUACCGGGAGAAUAAGCGCCGGCUAACUCCGUG